rnacentral:lncRNA from 1 species
AGCAAGGAAGAAAAAGGUCACAUAAUAUUUAAACGAGUCUACAAACACAAGCACAAGCACACAUCAUAAUUUCAAGUUCUACAACAUAGUUCAACAACACCAGAGAAAACUAAGAAAAGAGUCUCGGAAAAUAAUUUGAGAAGAGUGCAGAAACACAAGCAGACAACAUAAUUCGAAGUUCAAAACAAAAGCUCAACAACACUAUGGGUUGGACCGACCCUUAUUCAAAAUAAGACACAUCAAAGCAACAGAAGUAAACAACACAUCGAAGUAACAGAAGUAAACAACAAUCUGGGCACAUUACUCUUCCUCUGAUUCUGACUCUGCACUCUGAAGCCAGUCAACAAAAGGCUUAACAUUCUUCCAAAUCUGAGAGUCCUUGUUAUCGCCUUUGAGCCCUUUCUGGUACCACUGAACUAUGUGCUCUUCCUCCAAAACAUCAGCAUCGUAGAGCGCCUUCAGAACCAGGGCAACCUCCUUCAACGCAUUGGAAGUGGACUUGCAGGAAAAUUCCUCAAUUGCAUGCAGCAAUGGCAACUGCAUACCCUCCUCCUGAGAAACUGCAGCAGCAAGGUAGCUCUUCCUCUUAAUUGCUACUUUCGCGAACCCUUUCUCAGUGCCCUCAAACAGGGCUUCAUACAGAGCACUCAUUUUUUCUUGAGCAGAUGCAGGAAGUGUUGCCAGAUGGGUCAGCAAUUCUUUUGCAGUAGCACCUUUCUUCAAAUCUGCUUUGACUUCCCCAACCAGUUUGCUAUAGUGCAUGGAGCCACCAUUCUCAGAAGUGUCAUUUACCUUAGUUGCUGCUUUCUCAGAUUUACCAUUUGUGGAGCUACCAUUCUCAGCGUUAUCACUUAACUUAGUUGCUACUUUCUCCUUCUCUGGUUCAUUUGUGGUGAGCAUGACCAUAUCAGCUGUCACAGCACUUAACUGCUCUUGGAUACGUUUACGAGCAGCCUCUGCUGAUGUAUCAGCUAGCCACUGAACAUCAUCAUCAUCAUCUUCUUCGUCUUCCUCAUGAGCAACAUCCUUCUCAUCAAUUUGACUAUGAGUAGGAGAUGUACGGUCCUCAUCAGAGCCAUUUGCCUUUUUCCUUGAAGAGCUAGAUUUGGUGGUGCCAUCCUUAGAAGACGAAGUGCCUUUCUUCUUAACCUCUUUCUUCAGUUUUUUGAGCUCCUCAUCAGCUGCUUCACCUUCUUUCAGUCUCUCCUUCUCAGCUCUUCUCAUGGCCUUCUUGUCUUUGGAUCCCUUCUUACUCUCAGGAGGGUUCUUUAUGAUGAAGGUAGUUAGCUUGUCUCUCAUAUCCACAUCAGACACAAAACCACAAGCAGCACAUUUCAGCUGGAUCAUUUGACUCUUAGUAAUCAAUAUCUCAGUCUCAGGAUUUCCACAGCCAUAGCAUUGGACAUAUUUCUUAAUGAAAUUCUCAAGGAGGCCAGCAAGUUUUGCAGUAUCAUGUGCACCAUUGACAUGAGAAGUUCCAGUCUUCUCAUCAAAUUUCGACUGGGCUCCAAGUUCACAACCGAAAUACUUGGUAGUGUAAGCCGCUGGCCUCGCCAAUGCCUUUGCUAUAUCAACCAUGUUGACAACAUUUGUUUUGAUGCCGUUACCUCUACCCUCAAUUUUGGUAAUCAUUCUAGGCAUCUUAUACCUAUAGAAGGCAUCGUCGCGAUUACCAGCACCAAUGUUCUGUAACGCCAUGAUGACAGCAGCAAGUCUUGACAAAACUAGAUGUCACAGGCAGCAGCAACUGUGGAAACUCAAUAUAUCCAGCCGCAAUGUUGAUUUGCUAUUAAGGUCACACAGACUCUCCAGCAAUUUCGGUAGGCAGCAAACAGAAAUGACAGAGCUCAGUAUGUUCCUGAUAAGGCACACGAUGCAUACAGCCAAGUCUUCUCCGCAACGGCCUGUUCUUUUUCCUAGAACAAGAAAAACUGUCUCCAAGCAACUCAAUUGCUCCCAAAUGGAUGAUAGCCUGUUCAAACAUGAAAGAAACUUCCACGUGAUACCUUCACCUUGGAAUCUGCCACCGGAGAACUAGCACAGAUCCUGAGUCAACAACCAGAAGCCACAUUAUUUCAGUUACAAGCAUAAAAUACUGGACAGUAACUCUUCCAAAAGAAAACAUUACAAUAGUAAACAUUUACUAAGCCAACAAACUUAAUGUCCGAAAAACAUCAUCAUAAUAAACAAAUACCAGAUACCGACAACAUUAAUGGCCGAUAAAUAAAUACCGAUACCAACAACAUUAAUGGCCAAUCGAUAAACACCGAAUACCAACAGCAUCAAGGACUUAUAUAUAAUCACCUGAUACCGGAAGAAACCAAUUCGCAAAUAUAAAGGACAUUCCUAAGCCCACAAACAAAAAUCGUAAUCCCUCCCAGUUCUAUUCAAUAUCAUGUAGAUCAAUGAAACAACAAACCAAGCCUUAACCCACACAGAGGGAUCAGCUUACACAGACUAAAUAGUCGCGAAAGCACAAUAUCAAACACCCUCCAACAGAUCAAACCAAAAUAAAGCAAAUAUCAAAAGCCACUAACAUGCUUAACUUGAACCUAUAGAACCGCAUAAACUAAAACCUUAAACAAAACUGAAAUCACAACAUUCAGAUAAUUAAAGUUAAUACGAACACAGUAGGUACCGUAAAGUUUAUCCCCAAAUCUUGAAGUUAACGGAAAAUCGUUCAAACACAGCGACGUAACAAAAAACAUUCAGAUAAUAAUCAGAUCAAAAUCAAUCAUGAAAAAAUUUAAAAUCUAAAGUUCCGAACAGAUAAAUCGAUUAAACCUAGAAUCGAUACAGCUAGAACAAGACGAUCUAGGUUUUUGGAAGCAGAAGUUGAAAUUAAAAUUAACGAAAAAUCGAGAAAAAUAGAGAGAAGAAAAGAUGAACCCUAAGGGUUGUUACCUGGAGGAGAAGGGAGAAUGCAGAGAGAGAGAGAGAGAGAGAGAGAGAGGAGAUUGUGAAUGAGAUGAGAAGAAGAAGAAGAAGAUGCGGCUGAAGAAGAAGCGAUUGUAUGAGAAACGAGGUUUAGCAUCACCAAUGCCCUUAUAUAUUUAUAUAUAGACCUAUCAUUGCAUACCCUUCUUACGUGAAAACUAAUUUCUCUUUUUUAUUUAUUUAUUUUAUAUAUGCGGUCUAAAGUGUAGGCUCUAGACUAUUCUUUUUUCUUUAGGAAACUACAUUUUUGUUUGAAUAUAUAAAAAAUAAAAACCACUUUUUAAAAUGAAUCAAAACCUUAUAAUGUUUGGGUUGGCCGAAGUGGUUAUAAGACUUAAUAUCGUUCGGAAGUUCAAAAAAUUCACAAAUGAACUGAAUGAUGUAUUGAUUUCUAUCGUCCAAUAGGUAGUUGUGUGAAAGAGAGUUGACAUAAUCAUUAAACACCUAAAAGUUGUCCUAACACAAACAUGAAUCAUCAUCUUGGGAGUCUUCCUUAAAUGUUUCACUAGGGUCAAGCGCAUCAGUUACAUAUCAUAUUGUGCUUUAUAAAUGCAUUUUUGAUCGUUUAAUUACAUAAACGUUCCUCAUUUUGCUCAUUAAUUGUGCUUUUUUUGUUGACCUAGAGGUUGACUUAAGUGUUAGAGUGCCUUUUGUAGGUACAUCCUCCACUGUGCUCCGUUGUGGAUGUUCCUCGCCACCGCAUAUACAGCCUACAUCCACCACUUUCGGAUCAAAAGUAUAUACAGAGCUCUAUUUCUCGAAAGAUAUAUAGGAUGAAGAAAAAGUAAAUUUUAAGGCAAGAAUACCAUGUAAUUAUGAUGUUAAUCUUGGUAUUCGUGCUUUUAAAAAUUAACAUCAUAAAAGAAUAGUUGCAUCAUACUAACAACAUUUGUGGUCGUCAAUCUUGUUGCGACGAUCAAUCUCCACUUUCUGAUCAAAGGUACCCAGAUCAAUCUCAACAUUUGUGGUCGUCAAUCUUGUUGUGGCGAUUCUUUGAGGAUAGAUUCUUCACCAUAGUGGGUUACAUAUUGGCAUAGUCAACCUUGCACUAAUAGCUACGUAUCCAAAAUUUUCCAACUUUCGAUUUGACGGCCACAAAUGUUGCACAUGAUUGCCCGCCUCUUUCAUCUCUCGCGCGAGUCGAGUCACAAGUUCAACGAUUGAACCAACGAGCGCCUCACCAUGGGGCCAAUCCCUCCAUUAUAUGCGUUGUUGGCACUGCCACCAUACCCAACAACUUCUCCUAUGCCUCAUCUUCUUCUGCUACGUCUCCAACAACUACUUCCAUUCCUCAUUUGGCCACGAACCCUUGCUCGCAUAGACGACGAGUCCCGAGUCAUUAAGGAUGACAAUGUAGGACAUUCAAUCGUCAGCCCUGCUGCCUCGUUGGCUUGUCAACACGCCAAUCAAAGCGAAUACCUUAACCCUACAAGCGGGAAGACGAGUGAUGUGAAAUUGAAUUCACUCAAUGAGAGAGGAAAACGAUAUGUGAAAAUGCAGCAACUUGUAGUCUUGGUAGAAGCAAGUAAUCAUAGUUGCACGAUGGAUCCUUGCAGCAGAGCUAGGAGAACCCUGAGUGGUAAAGGCAAGUAUAAAAUCCUUCACGAAACAAGUAAUUUGUCUGACCUAUCAUGGUCCCAUAUGUAUACAUGCAAAUAUGCAAGGGGGAAAACUUAGAUACGACACCUUAGGUGUGGUUUUUACUUUGGUCAAUUAUAAUAUAACACCUGCAAUAUCAAUCCAUUCCAUUGAUAUUGGAUUCCAAUAAAUCUCACACCGUCAUUUAUCUCUAUUGUGUUGUUAACACCUUGAAGUUCUACAACUGUGGCAUCAACACCAAUGGAAAAUAGGGGUUAGAUGAAGGGAGGCUUUAAAAAUUCAGAAUGGGAUCCGAGAAAUUGAUUAGAAGAGUGACAAGAGAGUUUCAUAAAAUGUAGAAUCAUACCAAACUAAGUUCACAACCAUAUAUCAUCAUUAGCCAUGAGCACUUGGACUAACAAUAAAAAAAUACGCACAGAUGAAAGACAAACCCAACAUUUUGUUUCACAAAAUUGUACCAUUGGAGGUUAUAAAGAAAUAAUAAAUUUUACUACUCCUUAAAACCCCUUGAAAAACCAAUAUAAUCUCUUCUCACAAUGGCAUAAAUCUAAAAAAUGGGCACUUUUCCUGUGACGGAACACUCAUUGUGGUGGUUCAACAACCAGAUUCGGUUAUGGAUUUGACGAAUCUCGAACAACCAGUUCUCCCACCACAACGGGGUUGAUGCUGCAGCCUCACAACCACUACACCAUGUCUCGGCGAUGCAAGUGCAGGUAACAAUUGCGUGUUAAACCACUUCGGCGAGGACCUCGUGCAGAGGAUUCUGCAAUGAAGGCUAGGUAUAUCCUGGCGACAAACAACGACUUUACACAGUGGGAGAUGCAAGCGAUCGAGGGAGUAAGGACUCCCCCUUCAACAACCAACGAAAUCGAUACACGGCGUCAGAGAACCCUCACACAAAGCAACAAAGAGGCCGACUUUGAGGACAGGGAGUCAAUAAACUCAAUGACAAAUUCAAUCUGAUGGAAAGGAGAUUGGAAAGAUGUGAUUACAGAUUCAAACCAGAAAUGCUGCGCAUAUCAAGACCUGCAUCGCAGAGCUCUAUACCCACUUCCAUGGAAGUUAAUUCUUUGCAGUUGGAGAUGUGAGAGACUUAAAGGCGUGCAUUUUUUUUUAAUUAUCACUGGAUGUGGUUUGAUAUUACAAGUGUUAUAUUAUAAUUGGCCAACAUAUUGUAUCUAAGUUUUUUGCCCAUUUGCAAGUAGAUGACGAUAAUAUGAAUAACUCACCUUGAAGUUUUUUUCUUUUUGACAAAACGUCAUAUUAUACUAAAUUUCAGAAUAAAAUCACUUUACAUUACUAUAUAUACAAAACACUAAUUGAAACUUCAAAAAAUUUCCUAAAUGAACUUCUCAUAACAAAAAAAUGGUGAAGCCAACACGAUUACACACAAAUGGUGUCUAACAUGAUUACACACAGAUCCAACCUCCCAGAUAAUGGAAAUAAAAGGAUGAAGCCACAGUAGCAUGUGAAUUAGAAUUGCACCCAAUCAACCAAACUCAGCUACUCCAUUGAUUAUCAUAACAGAGAAAAAGAAAGAAGACCUCAUUUAGCUAGAGGGCACACAUGUUGGAAACAACACAUGUUAGACACACAAUUAGCAAGACAAAAGAAAAACAGCAUCAUAAUAUAAAGGUGUGUUUUGUAACACAUCAUUAUCCAUCACGAAAUAAAAUGUGUACUAGAACCACAACAAAUAAAACUGACUGACACAAAAGUUUAAAGACUAAUAGUUCAACAGAUCAGGGGCCAACAAGACCCUUUAUUUGAAAAGAAGAACAUAACACAAGCAAACAGACAACAACAGUAAAAUAAGAUUUCUUCCAGUAAAUGAUGACCUGAGCAAAAACAUCAUUCUUCCUCAGUCUCUGAUUCCGCAGUCUGAAGCCACUCGAUGAAGGGCUUAACAUUCUUCCAAAUCACAGAGUUCUUGUCAUCACCUUUCAGCCCUUUUUGAUACCACUGCACGAUAUUGUCUUCAUCCAACACAUCAGCAUCAUAGAGUGUUUUCAGAAUCAGGGCAACCUCCUUCAGAGCACUGGAAGCAGACUUGCAAGAAAAUUCCUCGAUAGCAUGAAGCAGUAACAACUGGGAUCCCUCUUCCUCAGCAACCGCAGCAGCAAGGUAGCUCUUCCUCUUGAUAGUUUCUUUUGCAAAACCUUUCUCAAUUCCAUCAAAAAGGGCUUCAAACAAAGCACUCAUCUUUUCCUGAGCAGAUACAGAAAUCGUUGCCAAAUGAGACAGUAAUUCCUUUGCUGAAACACCUUUC